GAGNGCAGAAGGGGAGAGUGGAAUUCCAUGUGUAGCGGUGAAAUGCGUAGAUAUAUGGAGGAACACCAGUGGCGAAAGCGGCUCUCUGGUCUGUCACUGACGCUGAGGCUCGAAAGCGUGGGUAGCGAACAGGAUUAGAUACCCUGGUAGUCCACGCCGUAAACGAUGAGUGCUAGGUGUUAGGCCCUUUCCGGGGCUUAGUGCCGGAGCUAACGCAAUAAGCACUCCGCCUGGGGAGUACGACCGCAAGGUUGAAACUCAAAGGAAUUGACGGGGGCCCGCACAAGCGGUGGAGCAUGUGGUUUAAUUCGAAGCAACGCGAAGAACCUUACCAGGUCUUGACAUCCCGAUGCUAUUCUUAGAGAUAGGAAGUUACUUCGGUACAUCGGAGACAGGUGGUGCAUGGUUGUCGUCAGCUCGUGUCGUGAGAUGUUGGGUUANNNNNNNNNNACGAGCGCAACCCUUAUUGUUAGUUGCCAUCAUUAAGUUGGGCACUCUAGCGAGACUGCCGGUAAUAAACCGGAGGAAGGUGGGGAUGACGUCAAAUCAUCAUGCCCCUUAUGACCUGGGCUACACACGUGCUACAAUGGUCGGUACAACGAGUUGCGAGCCGGUGACGGCAAGCUAAUCUCUGAAAGCCGAUCUCAGUUCGGAUUGGAGGCUGCAACUCGCCUCCAUGAAGUCGGAAUCGCUAGUAAUCGCGGAUCAGCACGCCGCGGUGAAUACGUUCCCGGGCCUUGU
rnacentral:rRNA from 1 species